UAUCAGAAAUCCAGUGUGGGGUGGGAGGAAGUCAAUGGUUUGCUGCCAUAUCAUCUAUCCAGUGACCACCUCAGAGCAGCGCAAUUUCCCUCUCUGGCAUCUAAGUGGCUUCUGGGGAUGGAAUGACCCACCGCAGAGACUUCGCCCUAUCUUGGGCUCAUCCUUCUAGCCAAGAGUCAGUCUCUCUCUCUCUCUCAAACACACACACACACAGGCACACUCGAAUGCACCUGUCUAACCCUUCAGUUGCAGCUCCACGCUCCACCUGAUAGGUCUUUUCAACCUUUGUCAAGUAUCUCAAGACAAGAAUUUCCCAAAGCCCUUCCCCCAAACCCAGGCUUUCCCGGGAGACCCCAGCCCGCUGGAGCAGCAAGAGGAGGCCGAGAGGGAGAGAAACCUCGGGCUCCCUCUGCAAACUUAACCUGCGCAUCGCCCGGAUCCGCGUCUGCGUCCGAGGACCCAGUCAAAGAAGAGUCAACAGCAGACUGGCGGUUGGAUAACUCAACACCAAUCCCAAUCCUCUCUUCCAAUACCAGUCUCCAGUACAGAGAAAAUUGGUUACAGGGCAUUGGAAGGACUGGAAAAACAAUAAGGAAAGAAAGUGAUACCCUGAGAUCAGAAACUACUUGUGCCUUUGGGCUGGAACCCAUGAAUUGCUGCUAUGCUAGGAAGAUGCUGAGCAUCGUAGACCAGGUCUGGAACUGCAGAAAAGAGCUACUGGGGCUCCAGUGCAGAUUCUGGAAUCAGGAAAUUACUUGAACAUAGAGACACCUAUCCUGUAUUUUGUUCUGUGCUGUUCAUUACAGAUUCUCUGAUGCUCAAGAGGCUUGAGGCUAAGGCAUUGGGACCAGCACUGAAAAAGCUGCUUCCCUUGCUGUUAUUGACCAUGGCGUGACAUCAUCAUUCUUCAGAGUGACUGGGAUCUUGGACCCAAGGCCUGGAGGGAGUCAGCUUUUCUGCUGAAAGGUGAACACAGUUUUCUAGAUGGCUCUGAGGCCAGUUCAGUAUAGCUGCAUGAAAAAGAAUAGGAACACCUAUUCUUUCUCUUUAAAAACAUUCUUUAGAAGAACAGUAUAAAAGUAUGAUCCUAUGUACAAAAUUGGCUCUUUGUAUGCCAAAAAGAAAAUAUGUUUAGCCAGACAAGAUGCUUGGCUUUGUUACCCCAAACCAGCUUCCAGUCUUGAGGAGAAUGUGUUUCAAAAGUAUGUCUCUCUUCUUAGAACCAGAUGAAGUACAGAAAAACAGAAACACUACCUAAAAUGUUUUUUAUAUAGAAGUACACAUUAAGUCCUUUUUUGUAAUUUUAUUUAUACUUACACUUGGAAACUAUUAAAAAGCACAGGGAAAAACAAAUUAUCAUAAAUGAUUUUUGGUGUGUAUAUCCUUCCAUCUUUUUCUGACAUAUAGAGAAAACAUCUAUAGAUUUCUUUUUCAAAAAUAUUUUACAAAUAAAAAUGAAUUGUUUCAAUUAUUUUAUAAAUCU
rnacentral:lncRNA from 12 species